GAUCAUUCAGGGUGAGGACUGGGGGCUGAGGCUGGCCGGGGCUCCGCAGCAUUCCCAGUGGUGCAGCUGAAUGACGGACCUUGGGAGCACCCGGGACGUGGAGCCGCAGGCCCAGCGAUUGUCCCUGCGGGGUCCCCCCAACAGCCAGCAUCUGGCCUACCCCUCCAGGAGGCAGAGAUCCACAGAUGGUGUGCACGUUAAUGAAAACACCCCCCCCCCGAUUCACGGGGACACCCCAGCCCUUCACAGGCCUUGCCCUGGGGAGCAGCGCCGGGCAGGGAAGGUGUGUUUGAAGGGCCGGAAGCAGAAGCAUGGCCUCUGCUCACCUGGAGUGUUUCACCCUCAACUCUGGGACACCAGCCGUGGCCGGCUUUCCUGCUCGGGGAGAGGCUUGCGGUGCCCGGGCCCAGGGGAGAGCGUGCAUGCGUGGGGGCCCGCGGGAGCCUGAGGCAUGUCCGGGGCCCCUGCCAGUACCCUCAGUCUCAGCCUUGAACAACGGACCAGUUGUCGUCAACAAACAGCCCCUCGGGCCUACGGGGUCCACCUCUCAGCCGCCCGUUCUGCCCCUUCGUUUCCUCCUUGACAAAUACUAAACACGGGGGGCUAUCAGCCUUUGUUCUUGUUCUGAGAUGUGAUGAGUGGGUUUGUGAGAUCGCCAUGCUUUCCUGCCCUGCCCUCCAGAAGACAACAUAAUUAGCCCUGCACAAAGGUGGGGUGCUGCGGGAACACCCCCCGGGCACUGCCCCACACGUCCGCGGGCGACCUCGCACGGACACCCAGAGGAGCUUUCUCACUCAGUUGGGGAUCCAAUUGUUAAUGUGUUAUUUAGGAGUGUUGCCUUGAUAUAAGUGGGAUUGACCCAUCAUUUUCUUCUUUUGUCCCAUGGAGGCCCGGCUUGCCUUGUAAAGCUGCCUCAGAAGUUUCUAUUCGCUUUCUGUGGUCCUCAGUGGUGUCGGAGCCCCUCUGGUGGAACUUUGGGGUGAGCCUCGUGCCCUUAUAAGAAGGCACGGCUGAGCUGGCUUCCUCCCCGUUUGCGGUGUGGGGACGCAGCGGGAGGGCCGCCUGUGAACCAGGAAGCGGGCAGGCUUUCCCCGGGAGCCGAAGGGGCCAACUCCUCGGCCCUGGCCUUCCUGGCUGCAGAGCCGUGAGAAAUAAAUGUCUGUUGUUCAGGC